rnacentral:rRNA from 1 species
AGCGUACACGGUGGAUGCCCUGGCAGUCAGAGGCGAUGAAGGACGUGCUAAUCUGCGAAAAGCGUCGGUAAGGUGAUAUGAACCGUUACAGCCGGCGAUGUCCGAAUGGGGAAACCCAGUGCAAUUCGUUGCACUAUCGUUAACUGAAUACAUAGGUUAACGAGGCGAACCGGGGGAACUGAAACAUCUAAGUACCCCGAGGAAAAGAAAUCAACCGAGAUUCCCCCAGUAGCGGCGAGCGAACGG